CCUUGCAUUUAUGUUUCAGGUAGUUCUUGAAAUCUUUCCACAUUGGUGGUAAUUUUUCGAUAAUUGCAGCUACCUGAAAUGGUUCACAGAGCUUCAUGCCUUCUGCAUGUAUAUCGUGCAAGAUAAGUUGUAUCUCUUGGAUUUGAGUCAUUACUGUUUUAGAAUCUACCAUUUUGAAGUCCAGGAAUUUGCCUACAACGAAUUUCUUCAAUCCGGCAUCUUCUAUUUUGUACUUCUUUUCCAAUGACUCCCAUAGUAAUUUAGCCGUUUUGACGGAAC
rnacentral:lncRNA from 1 species